GCAUGGCUGGCUCAGUUGGUAGAGCAUGGGACUCUUGAUCUUUGGGUCAUGAGUUCAAGCCCCGUGUUGCGUA
rnacentral:tRNA from 1 species